rnacentral:rRNA from 1 species
CGUGGAUAACCUACCUAUAAGACUGGGAUAACUUCGGGAAACCGGAGCUAAUACCGGAUAAUAUUUUGAACCGCAUGGUUCAAAAGUGAAAGACGGUCUUGCUGUCACUUAUAGAUGGAUCCGCGCUGCAUUAGCUAGUUGGUAAGGUAACGGCUUACCAAGGCAACGAUGCAUAGCCGACCUGAGAGGGUGAUCGGCCACACUGGAACUGAGGCACGGUCCAG